rnacentral:tRNA from 1 species
UAGACCAUAGUCUAAGCUAUGACAUAUGAGUUGCAUUCAUAAAGUGUUUAUUAAAACUGGUUUAA